AUUGAACGCUGGCGGCAGGCUUAACACAUGCAAGUCGAGCGGAGUGAUGGUGCUUGCACUAUCACUUAGCGGCGGACGGGUGAGUAAUGCUUAGGAAUCUGCCUAUUAGUGGGGGACAACAUCUCGAAAGGGAUGCUAAUACCGCAUACGUCCUACGGGAGAAAGCAGGGGAUCACUUGUGACCUUGCGCUAAUAGAUGAGCCUAAGUCGGAUUAGCUAGUUGGUGGGGUAAAGGCCUACCAAGGCGACGAUCUGUAGCGGGUCUGAGAGGAUGAUGCGCCAAACUGGGACUGAGACACGGCCCAGACUCCGACGGGAGGCAGCAGUGGGGAAUAUUGGACAAUGGGGGGAACCCUGAUCCAGCCAUGCCGCGUGUGUGAAGAAGGCCUUAUGGUUGUAAAGCACUUUAAGCGAGGAGGAGGCUCUUUUGGUUAAUACCCAAGAUGAGUGGACGUUACUCGCAGAAUAAGCACCGGCUAACUCUGUGCCAGCAGCCGCCGUAA
rnacentral:rRNA from 1 species